AGCUUUGCACAGGGGCAGUAUUGUAGCCAAUGAGGUUUACCUGAGGAGCGAUUAUUGCUAAUUAAAAGCUUUUCCCAAUACCCCGCCAUGACUACUUGAAGAUAAUAAUAUGCAAUACAAUGACCAUUCUUGAUU
ensembl:snRNA U4 U4 spliceosomal RNA